GCUCAGAGCAGCCAGUUUACUCUCAAUGUCGGACACCUGCAGGAAAAAACAGCCCAGUCAGAAUGUUCUGUGAUCUGCAUGAGGACCACGUGGGUUUCUUCAAGGUUGAAGUCGCGCUGGAUCACCUCCCACACGUGUUUGGCUUCUUCAUCUGUCAGGCGGGAAAGAUCCAGUUUUCGCUCCAUGAGGCUGAAGGUGAUCAAUAACUGAAGACGAUCAGUUCCAGAUCAGGGUCUGCUGGUAGUUAUUUUUACAAAAACAGAGAAGGACGAGUUUAGAGAAUCAGCAUCGAACAUCAGAACUUUAAGCAACAAACUUUUAAAUCAUUCAGCUGAAGCCAACGUCACGAUCGUUUAGCAGCUAAAAUGACCGGCGGUCAGCGUUAGACCGCCAAGAUCAAGAGUCCGAAUCUCUGAGGGAUUUUUCUCUAAGUUUACGUCCAGAUUCCAAAGUAAACUCACCUGUAUGUACAGUAAACUUCUUUGGAAUAAAUGUAAUAAAAAAAACAGUUCAAGUACCUGGAGACACUGAAGGGUCACUGAACAAACACAACAAUGCCACACCCUGAACUUCCUGAUCACAACAGGACUCUUAAAAAGUUUGUUUCAUCACAUUUACUCCUGAAAUCUCACACUGGCAUUCAGGCUUUCAAAGUAAAAGCAUGCCUGCUGCUGACAGUCAUCGUGCACCAACCGUCCACGUUAAGGAAGACUAGAGUUUCAUCAACAAAAGCAGGAAGGUCACAAAUGCAAUUCUGACAGAACAUUUAGGCAGCAGGCAGAAACUCACCCCUCCACUGAAUGCAGUUCCAGACUGAAGACACAUCCAGAAGACACAGAAUCAUCAGCAGAUCACAUGACCCACCGCCUGAAGCUGACACUGAGAGGCUGACGGCUUACGCAACAGGUUUCUCUGAACAGGGACAAUGAUCUCAUCCAGAGGAUUUAGUGGGGUUAGGACGCUGUUUUGAAACAACACAUCUGGACUGAAGGAGUCUUUCCCUGGACAUUUUUUUGAAGAAAACUUAUGGAAAGCUCCUGUUCCCCCCUGCUCUUUGGCACUGGGGGGGCGUGUGGUGGUCCCUCCAACUCUGGUCUGAGUGGCUGGUGUCCGAUUGUCUGAUGGGUGGACCCCUGGAUCUGAUCCACUAGGGGGUCCACCUUAAAUACAAGAGGGGUUUAUACAACACACACCUGCUGUGUUCUAUGGUUCAGACAGUAACCUCUUUACACCACUAGAGGGCCUCAGCCGGUAAUGAAAAAACAGGCUUCAAUUUGUGACUUCAGCGGAUUGUGGGGUUUUAUAUGUGUUUUCCUUGUUAUCCCUUGUGCUGUCUUAGAUGACCCCCCCCCCCUUCCACUGACGUGUUCUCCCUA